rnacentral:rRNA from 1 species
GGAGGAAUAUUGCGCAAUGGGGGAAACCCUGACGCAGCGACGCCGCGUGAGUGAGGAAGGCCUUCGGGUCGUAAAGCUCUGUCAAGAGGAAAGAAGUGUACAAUGGCUAAUACCUGUUGUAUUUGACGGUACCUCUAAAGGAAGCACCGGCUAACUCCGUGCCAGCAGCCGCGGUAAUACGGAGGGUGCAAGCGUUGUUCGGAAUCACUGGGCGUAAAGGGCGCGUAGGCGGCUUGGUAAGUCAGAUGUG